UAAUGAUAAAAACAGGAAGUACAACUAUCCAAAGGUGCAGCAUUAUGGGUAAUGAUAAAAACAGGAAGUACAACUAUCCAAAGGUGCAGCAUUAUGGGUAAUGAUAAAAACAGGAAGUACAACUAUCCAAAGGUGCAGCAUUAUGGGUAAUGAUAAAAACAGGAAGUACAACUAUCCAAAGGUGCAGCAUUAUGGGUAAUGAUAAAAACAGGAAGUACAACUAUCCAAAGGUGCAGCAUUAUGGGUAAUGAUAAAAACAGGAAGUACAACUAUCCAAAGGUGCAGCAUUAUGGGUAAUGAUAAAAACAGGAAGUACAACUAUCCAAAGGUGCAGCAUUAUGGGUAAUGAUAAAAACAGGAAGUACAACUAUCCAAAGGUGCAGCAUUAUGGGUAAUGAUAAAAACAGGAAGUACAACUAUCCAAAGGUGCAGCAUUAUGGGUAAUGAUAAAAACAGGAAGUACAACUAUCCAAAGGUGCAGCAUUAUGGGUAAUGAUAAAAACAGGAAGUACAACUAUCCAAAGGUGCAGCAUUAUGGGUAAUGAUAAAAACAGGAAGUACAACUAUCCAAAGGUGCAGCAUUAUGGGUAAUGAUAAAAACAGGAAGUACAACUAUCCAAAGGUGCAGCAUUAUGGGUAAUGAUAAAAACAGGAAGUACAACUAUCCAAAGGUGCAGCAUUAUGGGUAAUGAUAAAAACAGGAAGUACAACUAUCCAAAGGUGCAGCAUUAUGGGUAAUGAUAAAAACAGGAAGUACAACUAUCCAAAGGUGCAGCAUUAUGGGUAAUGAUAAAAACAGGAAGUACAACUAUCCAAAGGUGCAGCAUUAUGGGUAAUGAUAAAAACAGGAAGUACAACUAUCCAAAGGUGCAGCAUUAUGGGUAAUGAUAAAAACAGGAAGUACAACUAUCCAAAGGUGCAGCAUUAUGGGUAAUGAUAAAAACAGGAAGUACAACUAUCCAAAGGUGCAGCAUUAUGGGUAAUGAUAAAAACAGGAAGUACAACUAUCCAAAGGUGCAGCAUUAUGGGUAAUGAUAAAAACAGGAAGUACAACUAUCCAAAGGUGCAGCAUUAUGGGUAAUGAUAAAAACAGGAAGUACAACUAUCCAAAGGUGCAGCAUUAUGGGUAAUGAUAAAAACAGGAAGUACAACUAUCCAAAGGUGCAGCAUUAUGGGUAAUGAUAAAAACAGGAAGUACAACUAUCCAAAGGUGCAGCAUUAUGGGUAAUGAUAAAAACAGGAAGUACAACUAUCCAAAGGUGCAGCAUUAUGGGUAAUGAUAAAAACAGGAAGUACAACUAUCCAAAGGUGCAGCAUUAUGGGUAA